UCAGCAGCCGCGGUAAUACGUAGGGUGCAAGCGUUAAUCGGAAUUACUGGGCGUAAAGCGUGCGCAGGCGGUCCGCUAAGACAGAUGUGAAAUCCCCGGGCUUAACCUGGGAACUGCAUUUGUGACUGGCGGGCUAGAGUAUGGCAGAGGGGGGUAGAAUUCCACGUGUAGCAGUGAAAUGCGUAGAGAUGUGGAGGAAUACCGAUGGCGAAGGCAGCCCCCUGGGCCAAUACUGACGCUCAUGCACGAAAGCGUGGGGAGCAAACAGGAUUAGAUACCCUGGUAGUCCACGCCCUAAACGAUGUCAACUAGUUGUCGGGCCUUCAUUGGCUUGGUAACGUAGCUAACGCGUGAAGUUGACCGCCUGGGGAGUACGGUCGCAAGAUUAAAACUCAAAGGAAUUGACGGA
rnacentral:rRNA from 1 species